GAUCAUUACCUAGACAUGCAAGACCUAGCUUCGAAUUUGAAAAAGGCUUUGUGCACGAUCCGGGGGCCUACCAUGAGCUCUUAUUCGGAGCCUCUUAUUGACAACCUAGAACUGAAAUACAUAUUCAUUAUUCAUACAAUGACGUCGAAUAAACUAGCCAGUUUAUGUGUCCAGGUAACCUCACUGGUAAUUAAAGUUCGUUUAUUCAAUUUGUAUGAAAAUUCGUACCAUGACCUCGGGAAUGCACCAGAAUUUGACUGUUUCGACUACAAACUAUGACAUAAUAAGCGAUUUAA